UACAUAGGGUGCAAGCGUUGUCCGGAAUUAUUGGGCGUAAAGAGCUCGUAGGUCGUUUGUUACGUCGGAUGUGAAAACCUGAGGCUCAACCUCAGGCCUGCAUUCGAUACGGGCAACUAGAGUUUGGUAGGGGAGACUGGAAUUCCUGGUGUAGCGGUGGAAUGCGCAGAUAUCAGGAGGAACACCAAUGGCGAAGGCAGGUCUCUGGGCCAAUACUGACACUGAGGAGCGAAAGUCUGGGGAGCGAACAGG
rnacentral:rRNA from 1 species